rfam:Myotis lucifugus cont2.54164, whole genome shotgun sequence.
GGUGGUUCUCAGGUGACGCAUCCCGAAAUCGGGCUCUCUCCUCUCCGGUUCCAGGUGCAUCAUCCAAGAACCGCA